rnacentral:SRP_RNA from 10 species
GGAGCCCUUUGUGGACAAGUAUAUGGCGAAGACCCUUGCCACCAUGUCCGGCCGUUCGAAAAGCAGGAAGGGACUGCUUAAGGUGUCGUCAUCCUCCCGGCAAGCGACCAGCCAAAAGCCCCCGUCGUCGCCAGCGGCG